GAGUUUGAUCGUGGCUCAGAACGAACGUUAGCGGCGCGCUUAACACAUGCAAGUCGAGCGAGAAAGGGCUUCGGCCCCGGUAAAGCGGCGCACGGGUGAGUAACACGUAGGUAAUCUGCCUCUGGGUGGUGGAUAACCUUCCGAAAGGAGGGCUAAUACAGCAUGAGACCACGGCUUCGAAAGGAGCAGGGGUCAAAGCCGGCCAAUUCACGAAAGCUGGCGCCUGGAGAUGAGCCUGCGGCCCAUCAGCUAGUUGGUAGGGUAAUGGCCUACCAAGGCGAAGACGGGUAGCUGGUCUGAGAGGAUGGAUCAGCCACACUGGAACUGAGACACGGUCCAGACUCCUACGGGAGGCAGCAGUGGGGAAUCUUGCGCAAUGGGCGAAAGCCUGACGCAGCGACGCCGCGUGAGUGAUGAAGGCCUC
rnacentral:rRNA from 1 species